AGAGAGAAUGCUAACGAGCUGUGAAAUGACCAAAGAUCUGGCAGCAGAAGGGAAAAGAAAAAAUAAUGGAAUAUUUUCUGUCUACAAUUGGUUGAAUCUGUGGAUGUGGAAACUGCAGAUACAGAUGGAGAGCCGACUAUACUAGCUUUUUGUUUCAUUUUUCACUUCUGGUGUGUGUGUGUGUGUGUGUGUGUGUGUGUGUGUGUGUGUAUCUGUGUGUGUGUUUUAUUAAUCUCUGUGCCUGCAUGUUAGUUUCUUCCUCUUUAUUUGGAUUUUCACUAACAUUCUUUUCAGCUUCUUCAGUUGGAUACUUGUUGCCAAUAUAUUUUUUUUCAUUCUAAGAAUUAAAUAAAUGGGCCAGGCGUGGUGGCUCAUGCCUGUAAUCCCAGCACUUUGGGAGGCCAAGAUGGGUGGAUCACAAGGUCAGGUGUUUGAGACCAGCUUGGCCAAAGCUGGUGAAACUCCAUCUCUACUAAAAAUACAAAAAUUAGCUGGGCAUGGUGGUGCGCGUCUAUAAUCCCAGCUACUCAGGAAGCUGAGGCAGGAGAAUCACUUGCACCCAAGAAGUGGAGGUUGCAGUGAGCCAAGAUUGCGCCAUUGCACCCCAGCCUGGGCAACACAGCGAGACUCCAUCUGAAAAAAAAAAAAAAGAAUAAAUGAAUGUAUUAAUCACCAAACUGCUCUUCAUCAGAAACUCUUAGCAGUGGUAUGUUGAGGUCUCCCUGCCUACCGUAUAUGUCUCUUAACUCUGCGGGUGCAAUAUUUUGUCAUGGGUCAGUUUAGCAAUAUUGUACUAUUUCCCAAUUUUCUAAGUGUGUUCAUUUCAGAGUUUAUCCUAUUCAUUGUUCUUUCUUUCUUUUAAAAAUUUCUAUGACUGAGAAGAAGAGGAUUUAUCUGACUCAACUGGAGAUGGCUCCCUUCCCUUAUUUAUUGUUGCAUCCUGAAGCUUCCCCCAUGCUGGGCUCAGUGUGAACAAACAGCGCGGGAGAAUGCAACCACUGCAGAGGUGCAUAUGUUUGAGAUACCUGGCCACUGGAGGUCAUCUCGUCUACUAUAUUCACCGCAGAUAAAGAAUGAAAAGAGAAUACACAACCUUGUGAUUGCUAGCAGUGAAAGCUCAGAGUUAUGACAUAACAGAAUUGGCUCAUGUGACUAUGGAGGCUGAGAUGUCCCAAGAGCUGGAUACCCAGGAGAAGCAAAGAGUGGUUGAUCAUACUGUAAAACUCAAAUGUGAAGGGAAGGCUGGAACCUACUGGAAACUGAAGAUCUAACGAAAAGAAGGAACUUUUAGGAACUAGCAGAGACUUCAAAAUGUUGAGAACUCUCUUUUUUCAUAAGAGAAGAUAAAAACUCUGAUGGUCACACUCAUAAAGACAAAAAACAAAUAAAAAACAAACAAAAACUCAGAAUCACAAGAGCAAAGAAAAUGUAGGUAAAACAAUAACAGAAGAGGUAAAGAAAUUUAUGUGAAUUGGGACACUCUGGGGCACAGAACAGAAGAGGAGAAGAAACAUGAAAGUAAUGCUCUGCACAAGGAUGUCUGACUGUCCUUGAUUCCAAGGGCAUUUAAAAUUAGCCACUGGAUGAGAACCAUGAAAUGCCAUGACUCUUACAGCUCCCAUGAAAGACAUUGGAUGGAACUUAUCCUAACUGGACCAAAUUCUAAAAAAUUUUACAUGAUAUUAUAAUGAGUUGAAAGUUGAAAAAAAAAAGCUCUUCUAGAUUACCAAGAAUAAAACACAAAUUUCUAGCUGACUGAAUUAAUUCUCAUCUCUCUAUAGAAAGAUCAUAGAAAUUUUUUUUAUCAUGCAAAGAAAUAGCUAAAAAUUUACAAAAAUAUAGACGUGCAUUAGGCAGCUCAUGAAUAAAUGCGUUUUUUCCUUUUUUCCUCCAGAAUUUUGUGAUGUUUAUGGUACUUUUCGGCUUUUAAAAUUUUGUAUUUAAUCAGGAUUUAUUACUUCAUUGUAAGUAAAUAUUAAAUUUGUACUCCAUCUUUG
rnacentral:lncRNA from 1 species